ACCUCCCUCCUCCUCCUGCCUCCCUCCCUCCUUCCCCUGCUCUCUCCUCCUGUCCCUUUGGAGCAACCCGGGAACGUUAUGAAUGUCAGGCCCCACUUCUUAUAAACAGCAAGUCAUUCAGUCAGCUGGCUUAGUGUUUGCUGCAACUGUGAGCCUGGGAACUCCGUGGAACUAGGAGAAGAAGAGGGAGUAAGGUGAGGAGAGACCUGGUAAGUGGGAGACUGCAAAGGACAGAGUUCAUGCAAACAGGAACACUUCAGAAACAUUCGCUUUGCAAGAAGUUCAGCUGAAACCAUUUCCCCAGUACUUCCAUAAGCAUGGAAGCAUGUCCAUUCUUUGGAAAGAUGAGACAUUUUCUUCUGUCUUCAAAAUGCAAUGAACUGGCGUGCCAUGGGGACCAGGUGAGUUGCAUUUUAGCAACUCACUUUAUUCAACAGUCUUCACUGGAGAAGGAGUGGUACUUCAAAUAUACACCAUGGGAGAAGGCCUUUGAAACAACUACUUAGUUGAAGCUAUGGCUCAUUUGCAGCUAUGGCUGCAUACAGUGUAGUUUUGUUUGUUUGUUUGUUGUUUUUUCUUAUUCUGCAUAUAACUUAUUUUGGUUUUGUCUCUGUUUUCUUAUACACGCAAAAGAAAACACUCUUCUGCUUGAAUUGAUUUGUAUGUUUUAAGGAUGAGGUAAAAAAAAUGGCAGAGAAGAUAACAUAAAAGAGCUUCUCAAAAGGACAAGCCACAGUGACCAUCAGGUUAUCGUAUUUUAAGUCUUUAGAGCAAUAACUUGGUGAAACUUGACUUGAGAGAUAGCUGUUUGCUUUCCUGGAUGUUGUAAAAAAACAUCUAAACAGCUCCCCUGGGGAAUAUCACCUGCCCAGAAAGUUUUCAGGCUGAUACAAAUAUUUUUAUUUGAUUACACUUCCCUUGUUGGUCUUAAUCUUGAUUUUUAUAGAAAAUAAAAGCCGCAGAUAUUUGUAUGGUCCAGUGGGAAAUGCUUUUGUGCUUUGCUUUAUUGAAAAAUAUUGUUGCUGCUAAGUGACAACUGAAAGUUAAUGCUAUUUUUUGCAUAUGUGUUCCUUAGUGAACACAUCAGCUGCGCGGUACUGAUUAGAAACAUGUCUAUAAUUUAACAGUUGACUGCAAGGCUUUAUAGCCUACCAAAAGUCUCCCACGCAUUGUAGCUGCCAGACUGCCUGGAGUUAAAAGGCAACUUUCAUCAGUUGCUUUCCUGUCUGAAUUAAUGCUACAAGCGGUUGAAAGAUGGAUGCUCGUAAAGGGUGAUCUUCCUUCUUGAACGUGGAGAUCUUUCCAAUAGAGAAAGCUGACUAGUAUUAUCCAGACAAAUAAUGUUCUUUCUGACAGGUGGGAUAUUCACAGACUUAUCCAUGGAGCCCUUAUUUUGUUUCAUGACUGCUGUUUUGGGAAGAAAAUCUAAAAACGGUUGUCUUGUUCAGAAAGCUACGUCAAAAUCCUUGGCUUUUGCAAGAACAUAAAGUAUCAUUCUAUCAGCUGGUGACCUCUGUUGCCAUGUUCUCUCUCUAAAUUUCACACAUAGGAAUUCAGUGUAUAGAAAUACCAUGUUUGCAGUUUUUUGUCUAGCUCAGGCAUUCUGGUAAACAGUGCUGAAUACUAGUCCACCCUAGCUUGACCUCAGCGUAGACAUAAAGCAAUCAGGAACUGCAAUGCCUAAAAAGCUGUCUGGAAGAAGUGGAGUUCCCUUGUAUACUUUAACCCCUUGUGUACCUUUCCCUUUCAUAUGAUUAGCCUGUACAGCUUUUUCUGUUGUUAAGCUCUGACUUGAUUAUAAAAUAAGACUGUCACGUUGCUGUGUGUCCAACAAUUUGCAUUUGCUGGUAUGAGAACCACAAUUAGCUGACAUUUCUUCAGCAAAUGUAAAUGGCCUUGGUUUUAUAGUAUAAAUGAAUAACUAAGUUGUGAUUUUUGUGUAAUGCCAGCCUCAGCUUCUAGACUUUUGUUACAUAUCUCCUGUUCUCUGACUUUCAUACCAGACUUUACAUAGGUUACAUGAGUGACGGUCUUUUUUCUCAUAUUGAUAUAUAUGUUCAGACACUGUAUAUAUGUUUUUGCAUAAAUGCAGUCUUCAUC
ensembl:lncRNA